UACAGAGGUCCCAAGCGUUGUUCGGGUUUAUUGGGCGUAAAGGGUGCGUAGGCGGCGGAGUAAGUUGGGUGUGAAAUCCCGGGGCUCAACCUCGGAAUUGCAUUCAAUACUGCUUCGCUCGAGUACUGGAGAGGAGGCUGGAAUUUACGGUGUAGCAGUGAAAUGCGUAGAUAUCGUAAGGAAGGCCGGUGGCGAAAGCGAGCCUCUGGACAGUUACUGACGCUGAUGCACGAAGGCCAGGGGAGCAAACGGG
rnacentral:rRNA from 1 species